rnacentral:lncRNA from 1 species
GAUGAUAUGAGCUACGAGGAGUUUCCGGUGAUGAUUUUGGCUCGAGAGGUACGUAAGUUAAGGAAUCGAGAAAUUUCCUAUGUUCGAGUACGGUGGAGCAAUCAUAGCGAUCGCGAAGCCACCUGGGAGCUCGAGGAGGAAAUGAAAGCGAAUCACCCUCACUUGUUUGAGGAUUAAGAUGAGGUAUGAGUUUAGAAUUAGAAGUUCUAAAUAGUUUAGUAUAUCGAGUUCGUUUCGAGGACGAAAAUUUUUUAUGGUGGGGAGAAUGUAAGGGAAGUGAAUUCUCGAAAUCCGAGGAUUAGACUUCGUCUGGAAUCGACUGAUUGUCGAGGCUAUAAUCUUCGGAAAGUCCGAAGAUGAUUAAAAAUGCAUAAAGUGCAUUAAGGAAGAGUUCGCGAGAGCAGCAGUGCAAAAUCUGCACUGGAGCAGAAUUG